GACGAACCGUGCGAACGUUGUUCGGAAUCACUGGGCUUAAAGGGCGCGUAGGCGGCCGAUCGCGUCCGGGGUGAAAGCUUCCGGCUUAACCGGAACAGUGCCCCGGGUACGGACCGGCUGGAGGGAGGUAGGGGCAGGUGGAACUUCCGGUGGAGCGGUGAAAUGCGUUGAGAUCGGAAGGAACGCCGGUGGCGAAAGCGACCUGCUGGACCUCUUCUGACGCUGAUGCGCGAAAGCUAGGGGAGCAAACGGG
rnacentral:rRNA from 1 species